rnacentral:misc_RNA from 1 species
UCUCUCUCUCUCUCUCUCUAUCUUCUGAUUUUCUGUUCUUUUAAUUUCAACUCUGAAAUAACUUUUGUUAGGGUUUCUACCGAACAGAUGGGUGCAGUUUUGCAACAAGAAGGCCAUCCAAUUGCUUUUAUUUCUAAGGCAUUUGGACCUAGAAGUAAGAGAUUGUCAGUUAUGAAAAGGAACUGCUGGCUGUCACAUUUGGAUUUACAAAGUGGAGACACUAUUUAGAGCCGGGUCUGUUUUAUAUAAAAACAGAUCAUGAGAGUAUCAAAUAUUUGUUGGAGCAGAGGCUGCACGCCAACUUGCAGCAGAGGGGCAUUUCUAAGCUCUUGGGGCUGAAGUAUAAGAUUUUAUAUAGGAGGGGAGUGGAAAAUGAAGUGGCUGAUGCUUUUUCCAGGAGACCAAUGGAGGUGGAAGGGACUUCUUGUGCUAUUGUUACAGCCAUUACACCUACUUGGAUGACAAAGUUGACUGAUACUUAUGUAGGUGAAUCUCAAUUACAUGAUUUAAUUGCUCAGUUAGCAAUUGAUACUCAGGCUCAUCAAGGGUAUGAAUUUAAGCAUGGGUUUUGUAUUACAAAGGUAGAAUUUAUGUGGGACCUGCUACUAAUUUGAGGCAACAAUUGUUGGCUGUCUAUCAUGACUCACCUAGUGGAGGACAUUCUGGUAUCCAGCCAACAUACAUUAGAAUUAAAAGGCAUUUCUACUAGCGAGGACUCUUAUGAUGGAAUUAAGUGGGUGAAGCAGUGUGAUGUGUGCGCUAGAUGUAAGAUUAAUCAUUCUUUGCCUGCUGGGUUAUUGCAGCCAUUGGCCAUUCCCAACCAAGCUUGGCAACAUAUUUCAAUGGAUUUCAUUGAACAGCUGCCUAAAUCUGAAGGGAAGGAGGUCAUAUUGGUGGUUUUGUGUAGAUUUACAAAGUAUGGCCAUUUCUUGGCCCUUUCUCAUCCUUAUACAGCUACAUCAGUGGCAAAAGUAUUCUUAGAUAAUAUUUUUAGAUUGCAUGAUAUGCCUCUUUCAAUUGUUUCUGACAAGGAUAAAGUUUUUACAAGUCUUUUUUGGAAGGAAUUCUUUAAAUUGACGGGGACUUCUUUCAAAUUUUCCACUGCAUAUGAUCCUCAGUCUGAUGGCUAGACUAAGAGAUUAAAUCAGUGCUUGGAAUGUUACUUGAGAUGCAUGACACAUCAUCAGCCAGCAGCUUGGUAUAAAUGGUUAGCUUUAGCUGAAUGGAAGUACAACAAUAGCAAUCACAGCAGCUUGAAGAUGAGUCCCUUUGAGGCUUUAUAUGUGUAUAAGCCACCUGAGGUUUAUUGCCCCUUGCCUGAUUCUACUACUGUUCAGGCAGUCGCUGAUCUUUUACAGCAGAGGCAGCAGAUGACUGAGUAGUAGAGAGACGAUUUGGUGCUGGCAUAGAAUAGAAUUAAGCAGCUAGCUGAUAAGAAGAGAACUGAGAAGGAAUUUCAAGUGGGAGAUUGGGUUUACUUGAAGUUGGCAGAAUUCUCUUGCAAUUAGGAAGUCCCUCAAACUCUCGGCUAGGUUUUAUGGGCCAUUUCAACUUGCAGCAAAGGUUGGUACUGUGCCAUACAGACUUAUAUUGCCGCCUUCUUCUUCUGUUCAUCCAGUGUUUCAUGUUUCACUAUUAAAGAGGAAAGUAGGCACUAAUAUGACACCAAUCCUGGAUCUUCCUGCCUUGAAAGAUGAACAGACAGUAGAAGGGGUUCCAGAAAAGUUGCUGCAGACAAGAAUAGUCCUGAGGAACAGUAUUCGAGCGCUUCGAGGCCUUAUUAAAUGAUCACGCUUCACCUAAGAAGAUGCAAAUUGGGGGGACUCCUCCUUUCUGCAGACUCAAUUUCCUACUUUUCAACCUUCUUGGGGACAAGAAGGUCCUCAAGGGGGGGAAAUUGUAACAUAUAAGGGAAGGAAGUUUAGGAAUAGAAGGAAAGAGAACGCUUAGGAGGGAAAAGAAGUUGGGUAGUUAUGCUGUGGUGUAGUUGUUAAUGCUGUUAGAGUCGGUUAUAGAGCUGUAGAGAAGGUUGUUAGAGUCAGUUAUAGAACCAUAGAGAAGUCUACAGCUGUGGAUAAAUAGCUGACUCAUGCUUGCAGGUUCUCAUUCUAAAUCUAAUACAGAUAUUGAUCUUCUUCUUCCCUAAAUUCUCUUCUCUC